rnacentral:rRNA from 1 species
GAUGAACGCUAGCGGCAGGCUUAAUACAUGCAAGUCGAGGGGCAGCGGGGGUAGCAAUACCUGCCGGCGACCGGCAAACGGGUGCGGAACACGUACACAACCUUCCUUUUAGUGGGGGAUAGCCCAGAGAAAUUUGGAUUAAUACCCCGUAACAUCAUUGAGUGGCAUCACUUGAUGAUUAAAGCUCCGGCGCUAGGAGAUGGGUGUGCGUCUGAUUAGGUAGUUGGUAGGGGUAACGGCCCACCAAGCCUACGAUCAGUAACUGGUGUGAGAGCACGACCAGUCACACGGGCACUGAGACACGGGCCCGACUCCUACGGGAGGCAGCAGUAAGGAAUAUUGGUCAAUGGACGCAAGUCUGAACCAGCCAUGCCGCGUGGAGGAUGAAGGUCCUCUGGAUUGUAAACUUUCUUUUAUCUGGGAAGAAAUGCUAUUUUUUCUAAAGUGUCUUGACGGUACCAGAU